UAUUACCUCCAGAGCUUGUCAAGCUUCCUUACCUCCAAGUAAUUAACCUUGACCGCAACUACCUCAACGGUUCAAUCCCAAAAGUAUGGGGUUCUAUGAAGUUGGUGAACAUCUCGCUCUUUGGAAAUCGAUUAUCUGGCCCAUUCACGGAAGAGAUAGGA